UGAAAACCUACAACGGUAAGGAAAACCUACAACGGGUUAUUUGGAAUGUUCAACGAUGAAUUCAAGGUUUUUACAGGCCGAUCCUCAGGUUUCUCUUCUCUGAAUUCUUCAGCCAUAUGGAGAUUCGAACAUGUGACUUAAGGUUCAAACCCUGGAAUUAAAAUCUUUUUUCACAUUCUGGCUAGUAAAAGAUGAAGAAGCAAAACAGAGGAUCAGAAAAUAGCAACCAAAUGAAAUCAAAUUCCCUAUAACCCUUUCUGCGCCUUCCAUUACAAAGAAGAUUGUAAUUGAAUUAACACUAUAUGCCGCAUUUGGAAUGGUGUUAAGUUGUGUGCCUUUGCCCUUUUCAAUGAUGAAUUCUUUGGAAGGAUCAAAGGUUUUUACAGGAUUUCUCCUCUGAAUUCUUCAGCUAUAUGGAGAUUCGAACCUGUGACUUAAGGUUCAAACCCUGGAAUUAAAUACCUCUUUUAGCUUCGUUCAACGAAUCGACAUCAAAUAUGGAUAUACAUGUUCGAAUUCAAAAUUUUUUUUGGCUGGUAAAAAAUGAAGAGGCAAAACGGAGAAUCAGAAAAUAGCAAUCAAAUGAGAUCAAAUUGCCUCUUCC